UUUUUGAUGGCUGGAAUCCAGU
rnacentral:miRNA from 1 species